CACGUAGGGCGCGAGCGUUGUCCGGAAUUAUUGGGCGUAAAGAGCUCGUAGGCGGCCUGUUGCGUCCGAUGUGAAAGCCCGGGGCUUAACCCCGGGUCGGCAGUGGAUACGGGCAGGCUAGAGGUAGGUAGGGGAGAAUGGAAUUCCCGGUGUAGCGGUGAAAUGCGCAGAUAUCGGGAGGAACACCAGUGGCGAAGGCGGUUCUCUGGGCCUUACCUGACGCUGAGGAGCGAAAGCGUGGGGAGCGAACAGG
rnacentral:rRNA from 1 species